rnacentral:rRNA from 1 species
AGUCGACGAUGAAUCUUCUAGCUUGCUAGAAGUGGAUUAGUGGCGCACGGGUGAGUAAUGCAUAGGUUAUGUGCCCUUUAGUCUGGGAUAGCCACUGGAAACGGUGAUUAAUACUGGAUACUCCCUACGGGGGAAAGUUUUUCGCUAAAGGAUCAGCCUAUGUCCUAUCAGCUUGUUGGUGAGGUAAUGGCUCACCAAGGCUAUGACGGGUAUCCGGCCUGAGAGGGUGAUCGGACACACUGGAACUGAGACACGGUCCAGACUCCUACGGGAGGCAGCAGUAGGGAAUAUUGCUCAAUGGGGGAAACCCUGAAGCAGCAACGCCGCGUGGAGGAUGAAGGUUUUAGGAUUGUAAACUCCUUUUGUUAGAGAAGAUUAUGACGGUAUCUAACGAAUAAGCACCGGCUAACUCCGUGCCAGCAGCCGCGGUAAUACGGAGGGUGCAAGCGUUACUCGGAAUCACUGGGCGUAAAGAGUGCGUAGGCGGGGUAAUAAGUCAGAUGUGAAAUCCUGUAGCUUAACUACAGAACUGCAUUUGAAACUGUUACUCUGGAGUGUGGGAGAGGUAGGUGGAAUUCUUGGUGUAGGGGUAAAAUCCGUAGAGAUCAAGAGGAAUACUCAUUGCGAAGGCGACCUGCUGGAACAUUACUGACGCUGAUGCACGAAAGCGUGGGGAGCAAACAGGAUUAGAUACCCUGGUAGUCCACGCCCUAAACGAUGGAUGCUAGUUGUUGCCUUGCUUGUCAGGGCAGUAAUGCAGCUAACGCAUUAAGCAUCCCGCCUGGGGAGUACGGUCGCAAGAUUAAAACUCAAAGGAAUAGACGGGGACCCGCACAAGCGGUGGAGCAUGUGGUUUAAUU